ensembl:lncRNA
GUACUACAGCCAAACCCACUGAAACUUCGACAUCCGAGGUUUCAAAAGCUGCGACUGUAUCAACAACAAAGCCACUUGAAGAAGAAACCACUGGCACAACAACUGCUGCUACAACAGCUGUAGUUGAAACAACCACCUCAGUGCCACAGCCCUCAACAACUAGCCCUGAAACAACAGUUGUAACUUCAACACCAACCGUUGAGACGGAGACAACAGUGACCACAGAAGUAACAACAGAAGGUACUACAGCCAAACCGACUGAAACUUCGACAUCUGAGGUUUCAACAGCUGCGACUGUAUCAACAACAAAGCCACUUAAAGAAGAAACCACUGGCACAACAACUUCUGCUACAACAGCUGUAGUUGAAACAACCACCUCAGUGCCACAGCCCUCCACAACUAGUCCUGAAACAACAGUUGUUACUUCAACAUCAACCGUUGAGACGGAGACAACAGUGACUACAUCAGUAACAACAGAAGGUACUACAGAAAAACCCACUGAAACUUCGACAUCCGAGGUUUCAACAGCUGCGACUGUAUCAACAACAAAGCCACUUAAAGAAGAAACCACUGGCACAACAACUGCUGCUACAACAGCUGUAGUUGAAACAACCACCUCAGUGCCACAGCCCUCAACAACUAGC